rnacentral:rRNA from 1 species
AACGAACGCUGGCGGCAUGCCUAACACAUGCAAGUCGAACGCCCCGCACGGGGAGUGGCGGACGGGUGAGUAACACGUGGGAACCUUCCCUAUAGUACGGAAUAUCCCAGGGAAACUUGGAGUAAUACCGUAUACGCCCGAAAGGGGAAAGAAUUUCGCUAUAGGAUGGGCCCGCGUAGGAUUAGCUAGUUGGUGAGGUAAUGGCUCACCAAGGCGACGAUCCUUAGCUGGUUUGAGAGAACGACCAGCCACACUGGGACUGAGACACGGCCCAGACUCCUACGGGAGGCAGCAGUGGGGAAUAUUGGACAAUGGGCGCAAGCCUGAUCCAGCCAUGCCGCGUGAGUGAUGAAGGCCUUAGGGUUGUAAAGCUCUUUUGGCGGGGACGAUAAUGACGGUACCCGCAGAAUAAGUCCCGGCUAACUUCGUG